GCCUGCAUGGCUCAGUUGGUAGUAGCGUAGGUCUCAUAUCCAAUGAGUUAUCCUGAGGUCGCAAGUUCGAGCCUUGCUGCAGGCA
rfam:Plasmodiophora brassicae isolate e3 genome assembly, contig: scaffold_2